CAGUCCCACCCGUCACUCAAAGGAGCGCAUGUUGUUGUUGCUUGACCACGAUACACUUUCGUUCAGUCGGCAAGCUCCCACACUGAUGAAGACAUCAAACAUACCCAAUUAAACUACAGUACUCCAAAUACAGAAAUGACUACGUCAUGGCCGAAGAACACCAGAGGAAACACCUUGAGUUCUACUGAGGGAAGAAGUUGAAGACUACUCAGAACAGAUUGACCAUGAGCGAGAGCUCUGACUACAGUUUAAAUACAGGACUGGGUUGGUGAAAGGAGGAAGCCUUAACGUUCAACUCUCCAGACAUGUAAAAUAAGUGAUUACCUCAAGGGGGAAUGCAUUUUUAAAAGUAUUCCAAUGGGCCUUGAAGACCCCAUCAAUCAGGCUACACAGAGAGGAUUUCAGUCAGUCAUCCCGGAAGUAACUCAUCAGUCAAAUCUCAUCACCACCCCCCCCCCCCCCCCCCCUCCCCCCCACUUGUUCUUCUCAGCUUAUAGGAAAAUACCACUCAAACUACACAACCAAAAGUAUGUGGAUACCUGCUCGUCGAACAUCUCAUUCCAACAUCAUGAGAAUUAAUAUGGAGUUGGUCCACUCCUUUGCUGUUAUAACCGCCUCCACUAUUCUGGGAAGGCUUUCUACUAAUGUAAACUCACUCACUUUUGGACAUCGCCUUGGUCCGUACAAUUGACCUUAUUUUAGCGCCCCAAAAACGUAAUACUUCCAGAUCAACUGUAAUGUCAAUACCAUUGUAAAGCAGUUUCUCCCCUUCCCAACAUAAUCAAUUACAUGACCUCUACGCUGCCCAUUUCUGUAUGAUUCAAGAAGGCAAUGAGCUCCGUUGGGUGUUUUUAAAAAUGGUGGGUGGGGAAGCGAAACUAAUGCGUGAUAGUGAGGAGAGAUGUGUGGGAAAACUUUUUUUCCCCACUCGAUCUGUCCAACUUAUCACCUUUAAAAUAUAAAUAAAACACUAUAAAGAGCUUA